UCCAGGAAAAGGAGCACUGUUGCGAAAUACGUACGGGGAACAAUGGGCAGAGUUGACGCGCGGUUGGACGGCUGUUCCCCGCCGGCGAGGUGUUCCAUGGAUCAGAAUCCGAGUCGCCAUCUGAUCCGUGGAUCAAGAAUAUCACUCUACGGUGGGGUUGCUCCGCCAUCGAAUUGAAUGUAGGUUCCAGCAUCUUCUCAUCCAAAAAGCGAGUGGCGUUGUGAAGGCGACGACCGCGAGUUAGAGGCCGGGAGCGGCGGCGGCGGCGAUCGACCCUGGAAUUCUUGAUGUAGCCCAUCGGCAGAUCUGCUGGAGAGGAGGCUGGAGAGAGUUUGGUGCCUGCCCCGGUAGUUGCGAAUGGCGGCCUGCUGGUGGACCAGGCGGUGGCGGAGCCGGCGCUCGUGGAGCCGGCGGUGGUGGACUGGUGGUGCAGGAAAAGGAUGCUAAGAGCAGAGAUGCGCAGAUCUUGUCGGGGAAAAGGUAGAACUCCCCUCUUACGUCUGAACUAUCGACUGGGAAGAUGAAUUCCCAAGCACCCGGAUGGAAUAAGAGGACAGUGCAGAAGCUUGAUUGUGUGUAAUUCAUAGAUUUUAGUGUACAACUGAAGAACGCAGACACCUAUGGUGACAUGGGUUCAGAUAAGAUAGUAUGAAGUGGAUGCAGGAAUGCAAGCUAAAAAGCAGGCGGAGAGAGAUGCAGAGGUCGCAAGAAGUAUCAACAUGAUGCAGAAAGGCAAGCUAAAGAGCAGGAGGAGAGAGAUGCAGAGCUCGCUAGGAAGUAUCAGGGAGAAAUUCAGCUGAAGGCAUUCCAAGAUGAACAGAGGGACAAUCAAAUUGCUAAGAUGUACCAAGACUUGUAUGAUGAGAAUGCGAAAGAUGAGCAGGUUGCAAGGGCUGCUGAAGUUGUAAAUGUCGGGGGGCCAAUUGAUGAUGUUAGUAUGGAACCAAGCCAAGCAUGUGAGCAGGUUCCAAUCCCUACUCGAGUUGUAAAUGUUGGAGGGGCAGAUCAUAAUGUUAGUAGUGAAUCAAGCCUAGGAGGUGCUGGCCAGCAAGGAGGGUGGUUCGGCUAAUUUGGAUGAAAGUAACAAUGGUCGGAGGUUGCAACUUGGCAGCUGGAAACUGGGCUGUGGCUCAUGCACUUUCCAGUAACAGCUUCGGUAGCCGGUCAACAUGAGCCGCAAAUGCCCGCGCUAAGCGCGAAUGGCCAGAUCUGUGCAAGGGAUGGUGGGUUGGAUGCUGGGCGGGAAGGUUCACUGCGGGCGUCGGAGCAUUUGGUUGGCAAACUGAACCCGAAAGCUCCUGGGUGGGACUCAGAGGUAUGGGGAGUUGCAUUUGUAUGAACUCACAAAAUCAGUGUCUGCAUUCUGAACUGAUAAGCGUGGUAUCCGCCAUGUGAGGGUUCUAGGUAUAUUGAUGUUAGCAUCUGUAGGAAAUUGUCAGUUGGGGCAGUAUUUUUAAGAUUGGUAUUUUAAGUUGAUGCAACAAUUGUUGGAGACGCAAUUCCAUGUACGAAAUUUCAAAAUUCAGAAAAACAGUCUGAAUGUUCAUGUAUGGAGCAGACUAGGUUGGUGAUUUUUGAAUGUAGUAAGCACUGGGUUCAGUACAUCACACGCCCCCGAUGUUGAUAUCAGAAUUAAAAUAAACUUUACAAAAAAUCAAGUAGCUAACAUUUUGCAGACAAUUUUGGCUCUGUUGUUUUUCAAUGAAUCGAUGAUAAUAUGUGUGUGCAGAAUUUAGCUAGGUAGGUCAGGCAUAAGUUUUUAGAUUGACACUUUAUUGUGAUACAACUAUCUUGCUAGACGUGUUUCCAUGUACGAAAUUAAGUCAUUCCGCAGAUUCAAGCUGAAUAAUGAUUUGUGGGCGUGGUUUAUGUUUUAGUUACUUUAAUGGCCUAAUUUUUCAUGCAAGAAUUCAGAAAAGGGAUUACGAGUAUCACUUAGCAAUCAUUUGAUGUACUCAUGUUGUGCUCCUUUCAUGUUUUGCUGCUUGCAGUGUCAAUGGGACAACAAUUCUGUUACUAGUCAAUGUGAUCCUUCUGAUGUUUUAGAUUGCAAGGAAAGAGAAGACAAUGGAACAUCAGACCAUUUCUGUGAAAGAAUAUAUGUUUUUCAUUAAAGAGAUUAAUGAACUGAAAGCCCAAACGAAACAAGAGUACUCCAAUAUGGCAGGAAGGCUGAAACUAGUGAGGCAUUCCAUCAAAAGGAUCACAUUGACUAGUAACAUAAGGCAUUUUGUAAAAAACAGCACCUUGUUCUUUUUCAGUUUGAAUUUCAUCAAUUUUCAUAGUGAGCCAUGUUCUAUUUUAUAGACUUUGAAGAAGGAAGCAAGUUUACUUUAUAAAAACCUGAAGUCCCUUGAUGAGAAUAGAAUAGAGGUUAAAAAAUAUUGUGAGGAUCAGAGAGCAGCUCUGUUAAAAUUAAAAGUUGAAUUGUAUGCUGCUAAUGAAAAUUAAAUGACAGGAUAAUUAGACCAGCCCUCCAUUGUUUUACCUAAACUGCAGGCCUGCUUUGGUUAUUGGGGUGACAUAGAAAUGGUCGAGAGGUACUGGCAAUGGAGGUGCACGUUCAGCUUCUUUCUCGUAUCUAUAGAUAUGGAAGACCUUGCUGGAAACACAGUGGUGGAGCUAGGCCGGCAUCAGGCUCCAUGCCACCUCAGGCCAUCUUCAAGCACUAUAGAUGUUAGUAAUCUAGAAUAGAAAUGAUAGUCCAAAGGAUUUUGUUGUCCAUGUCGGUUCGUGGAUCGGGAAACUUGCUUUCAGUGAACUACGACAGCAACCGAGUUAAUGCAUGGAUAGGGUAUGGGAUGCAAUUAUCUCCUACCUCAAGCGUGUGGAUCCUUCCAUUAGGGAGAGUGGUGGCCUCGACGGACAAACAUCUGUAGAAACAAGAAGAACAACCAUGCUGGAAGAGGUGACUGACAGCAACAUUCGGAUGGAGCCUCUGCACUACCCAGUCGUCGCACUGGUUGAGCAGCAGUUGGCGCCCAAGAGGGAAGUGAGUGCAGACAGGCAGAUCUGUGUGGCGGAGGCGGCGAUGAAUGCACAGGGGGGAGGGGUCACCUUAAGGAUCUGACCAGCAGAUUGACCUGAAAGCUCCUGGGUGGACGUGAAGGUAUGGCAUUAUGCAGAUGUGCAAUUUGUAGGGACACAUUGAGCUAUUCAUAUCUAAAAGUGAGACAGUAUAUGAGUGGUGAUUGAUUGAAUGCUUUCAUUAUUAUUUUUGAAUAAAAGAAGGGCCUCGUCUUCCGAUUUCCAUUAAGAGAAACCAUAUGGUUCAGAUCCUAAUACAAACUACUACUAGAACUGAAAGGAAAUAACAGAUGUCCGCGGAGCUAGAAAACCCCAGGAACGUGCUGUGCUCGAACACAGCAAACAAGAAUGAUUUCGUAUGUAAGUGGAAAAUUGUAGAAACUGGGAACGUACUGUGUUCGACCCACCAAAAUUGUAGGAACCGGUCUUGUUUGCUGUGUACGAUGGAGGCAGUCUGCCCCUGAGUAAAGAGAGUUUCAGAUUUAGUAUAACAGUUUGUGCACUUGUUGUUGAUCCUGAUUGUUGUCUGGUGUUUGAUUCUAAGCCUUAAGUAUGAAAAGAAUGGACAAAUUAAUAAGUUAACCCGUACACUUGUUAAAAUUUGUUGUGUGAUCUGAACUGCAUGGAUGUAGCAAUGCAUCCUGAGUAAACUGUUAUGCGGCGAACCAGAGUGUUCAAUUUUUUGGUUGCAGAAUGACUUGUGGUGUUUAUGUGAUAUUACACCUGACACUCGUUGUUUUCAUGGAUUAUUUUGCACAAAGAGUGAGGAUUGGUGCUGCCGAAUCAGGAAGGAUGCCGUGCCCUAAUCAAGCUACUGCACUUGAGAAGGCUAUUUACAGUUUUACGAAAAAUCCUGGAGACAAUGUGAUUGUUUCAAAACUGGGUACAAGCUUUGAUUUUGUCGUUGCAGUCCGAGCAGGGAAUCAGCGGCAAGAUAUCAUCGACAACGGGAGAUGAGGAAGAGGUAGACAUCAGGUAGUGGAAGAGCACUGUCGAUCUGGUUUCUUGUAAUGGACUGCAGAUGAGUGGUGGAUCUGGCCAGAGUUGGAUUUAGCCGGUGAGGCGAGGCGUGCACUGGAAGAUUAGUAACUUCCUUUUUUAGGGGAACUGGAAGAUUAGUAACUGCAACGGUGACAAUAAAUAAAGGUGGUCGUUAGCGACAGAUCCGCA